CAAACUCCCACUGAUGUUAUUGGGAGACAAGGAUGCUCUGCCCUUCAGAGAAGGCGCUCAGCAGAUAUAACUCAUCCUCCAAAGUCAGCUACUAUGAUCCUCCACCUCAUAUCAAAAGGUCACUGAAUGGUGCUGGCCAUGUAUCUCACAUAUGAGCCGCUGCCUGAGCUCAAAUAAACCUGGAAUUUAACAGAGGCCAGGUCCAAGCUGGUUUGCGCAUGAUACAGGGCACCUACUGGAAGAAAAAUUGCUGGUGGGAAAUUUGGGGUAGCAGAAAGUGGCUACAACUUCUUCUCACCUGGGGAGUCCACAGAGAGCCAAUAAAGCCCAAAGUGUGGAUAGCACUGGCUGGGGAGGGGGCAUUGCCAGGACAACCAGGAGAUGCACUGACUCAUAUCACACCUUCUGCAGCUUCCUCCUUCAGGGGAAAUUAAAACGGAUUUUCUACUGGGCAAGAGUGAAUUUGUCCUUUGAUGUGUGGCUGAUGCACUUUGCACCAGUGGUAUCGGUUACUGCUUCUUGUCAGCUAAAUUCCUUUAUAACUCACUAAUGAGCAGGACUU